CAGACAUGAGACAUCAGCACCAUACUCGCCACACCAGAAUGGAACUGCUGAACGUAACUGGAGAACUCUUUUUGAUAUGGCUAGAUGUAUGCUCUUAGAAAGUCAGUUACCCAAGGAGCUAUGGCCGUAUGCGGUCUAGACAGCAGCGGUGGUGAGGAAUAGAUGUUUUAACAACCGCACCAAACAGACACCUUAUUUUAUGCUGAGAGGAAGGAAACCCAAUAUGUCCAGGAUGCAGAAGUUUGGUACUGGUACUGUGUGUUUUACAUACAGGCAGGACAGGAAGAAGCUAGACUCAAGGUCUGACAAAGGCAUCUUUGUUGGAUACGAUAAGAACAGCCCAGCCUAUAUGGUCUAUUAUCCUGACAGUAGAAAGGUGAUGAAACACAGGUUGGUGAGGUUUAUGUCUAAUAUUGAGGGACAAGAGACUGAUGACGUGUCUGAUGAUGACAUUGAUAUGCGUUAUAGCACAACCAGACCUGAUCCUGAUAAACCCAAGCAGUGUGACAUUCUAGAGAAUAGGCUAGGCCUAAGCCAGAUAAGCCUACAAUCAGCUGAGGUUAAGCCAGAAUCGCAUUCUCCGGAUACCCUGAGUAGAGAGAGGAGAUACCCUGGUAGAGAAAGAAGGAGGCCAGAUUUCUAUGGCAUGGAGAGUGAUCAGGUGCAGAUCAGCAUUGAUUAUUGCUAUAAGAUGGUUUCCAAUGUACCUCAGACUUUUAGAGAAGCUGUGACUUCAUCCAACUCAAGGGAGUGGAUAGAUGCAAUGGAUGAGGAGAUAAAAUCACUGAGGGAUAACACCACAUUUACUUUGACCAACCUACCUGAGGGCAAGAAAGCAGUGGGGGGUAGAUGGGUGUAUGCUAUCAAAACUAAUGCUGAUGGAUCUGACAAAUAUAAGGCUCGCUAUGUCGCCAAGGGGUAUAGUCAGGAGUUGGGUGUAGAUUAUGGAGAAACUUUUUCUCCUACUGCUAACCUUACCAGUGUGAGAGUGUUGAUGCAGAAAGCUGCUCUGGAGAAAUUAAAUUCUCCAUCAGAUGGAUGUUAAA
ensembl:lncRNA